GUGAAUCAUCGAAUUUUUGAACGCAAAUUGCACUCACUUCGGAGAGUAUGCCUGUUUGUGGUUCAGCCUAAAAUAAAUCGACAUCGUUGCUGUUUCGCGGUGGCGUUGGGCGGAAAUUGGGUUAUCUUAAAUCUGUGGUGUAAGCGACUUGAAAUUUUCGUUACGAUUCCUUGAACGUUGCCUAGAUUUAUUUCGUGACACGCUGA
rnacentral:misc_RNA from 1 species